AGAGUUUGAUCCUGGCUCAGGACGAACGCUGGCGGCACGCUUAACACAUGCAAGUCGAACGAGAGAAGAGGAGCUUGCUUUUCUGAUCUAGUGGCGGACGGGUGAGUAACACGUGAGCAGUCUGCCUUUCAGAGGGGGAUACCGAUUGGAAACGAUCGUUAAUACCGCAUAACAUAAUUGAACCGCAUGAUUUGAUUAUCAAAGACUUAUCGCUGAAAGAUGAGCUCGCGUCUGAUUAGCUAGUUGGUAAGGUAACGGCUUACCAAGGCGACGAUCAGUAGCCGGACUGAGAGGUUGAUCGGCCACAUUGGGACUGAGACACGGCCCAGACUCCUACGGGAGGCAGCAGUGGGGAAUAUUGCACAAUGGAGGAAACUCUGAUGCAGCGAUGCCGCGUGAGGGAAGAAGGUUUUAGGAUUGUAAACCUCUGUCUUCAGGGACGAAAAAAGACGGUACCUGAGGAGGAAGCUCCGGCUAACUACGUGCCAGCAGCCGCGGUAAUACGUAGGGAGCGAGCGUUGUCCGGAAUUACUGGGUGUAAAGGGAGCGUAGGCGGGAUCGCAAGUCAGAUGUGAAAACUAUGGGCUUAACCCAUAAACUGCAUUUGAAACUGUGGUUCUUGAGUGAAGUAGAGGUAAGCGGAAUUCCUAGUGUAGCGGUGAAAUGCGUAGAUAUUAGGAGGAACAUCAGUGGCGAAGGCGGCUUACUGGGCUUUAACUGACGCUGAGGCUCGAAAGCGUGGGGAGCAAACAGGAUUAGAUACCCUGGUAGUCCACGCCGUAAACGAUGAUUACUAGGUGUGGGGGGACUGACCCCUUCCGUGCCGCAGCAAACGCAAUAAGUAAUCCACCUGGGGAGUACGACCGCAAGGUUGAAACUCAAAGGAAUUGACGGGGGCCCGCACAAGCAGUGGAGUAUGUGGAUUAAUUCGAAGCAACGCGAAGAACCUUACUAGGUCUUGACAUCGUAUGCAUAGCUCAGAGAUGAGUGAAAUCUCUUCGGAGACAUAUAGACAGGUGGUGCAUGGUUGUCGUCAGCUCGUGUCGUGAGAUGUUGGGUUAAGUCCCGCAACGAGCGCAAGCCUUACUGUUAGUUGCUACGCAAGAGCACUCUAGCAGGACUGCCGUUGACAAAACGGAGGAAGGUGGGGAUGACGUCAAAUCAUCAUGCCCCUUAUGACCUGGGCCUCACACGUACUACAAUGGCUGUCAACAGAGGGAAGCAAAGCCGCGAGGUGGAGCGAACCCCUAAAAGCAGUCUUAGUUCGGAUUGUAGGCUGCAACCCGCCUACAUGAAGUCGGAAUUGCUAGUAAUCGCAGAUCAGCAUGCUGCGGUGAAUACGUUCCCGGGCCUUGUACACACCGCCCGUCACGCCAUGGGAGUCGGUAACACCCGAAGCCUGUAGUCUAACCGCAAGGAGGACGCAGUCGAAGGUGGGAUUGAUGACUGGGGUGAAGUCGUAACAAGGUA
rnacentral:rRNA from 1 species